GGCGUGCAUGCAUGCAGUCAUUCUCCUUCAUGUGAUUAAAAGCUAUUUUAAAUUCUUGUGCUUAACAACAAUAGUUUGAUUUCCAAAGGUCUCGUUUUUUAAUACACCUUGCAUAUAGGUAGUGAUUUCUCCAGUAGAACAAAUUAGAAAAGACAAAGAAAAAUAUAUAAUUGAAUAUAAUGCGCACACUUAUUUCAACAAAUCUCAGGCCUAGUUUAUGCGUCGAAUUUCAGUCGAAUUUAAUUCGUCGAAUUUAAUGUGACAAUUAUGCGACGGAAAUUCGACCGAAGUGUUGCGUGCAGUUUAGACGUCGAAUUUUGGUUGGAAAAUCAAAACAUGCGGGUGUUGCAGGCUUUAAGAUGGACAGAUGAAGGCCUAUAAAAUAAAUAUGGCGGCGUUCACCAAAGCAAUUAUCUUGAAACAAAUUCUGAAAAUAUAUAUUAAAAGAGAAAGGCGUCAGAAGCAAUUGUACAUUUUGUACUUGGUAAUUAAAUAGAAAAACGAAGAUUCUUCGGCUAUGCUUGGCACUGCUUUCCAAUUUGUGUGAAGCGAAUAUGCUCCGUAUCCGUUCAUGUCGUCGACUUGAAAAAUCAGUACAGUGGAGUUAUUGGUUGGAGUUGGACUAUUCGUGGUCAAACUAUUCUGAAAAGCGUUUAAAGAAUACUUUUCGCGUGUCACGACAAAUCUUCUCAUGAACCAUUCUUCACAAGAUUGGAAACCAGUUAGAGAAAAAAAUUAAAACAGAGCUGCCAGUUUCUUUUUUUUUUGUUUCUUUUUUUGCCAGUUUCUUUUUUUUCUGUCAGUUUUUUUCCUCUUAGAUUUCGUAAAAUUGUCUUCUUAGAGUUCAUAAAGUUUGUGAAGUAAUGGUUACACAUUUAUGGCAGGAUUAUGUGUCUAGAAAAUCAUUGAUAUGGAAGAUAUUUCGGCGCAGUAAUUGUUGCAGUAAGCAACGCUUACAUUUGGAAUCCAUCCAUCAAUUUCUUUGUCUGUUAUAGCCGUAGAACAUAAUGUACGGUUGCAAACAUACGUUUUACAUGUAAUACAACGAUAUUUAGUGGAUUUUUCGCAAUUAGAACAUGGAUGUUGUUUGUCCGCCAUGUUGUUAUUGAUUUUAGGGUCGCUUUUUUAAAAAAUAAAGCUAUUUCUGAAAGGUUUCUAAUGGAAAAAAGCGUUGAAUAAUACUUCGUUUUGAGUGCCAAAUCACUUGCGAGUCUAUACAGCAAUUCUACAUAUGAUACGAAUAUCACUAGACCAAAAAAUAGCU